rnacentral:misc_RNA from 1 species
AAGUCGUAACAAGGUUUCCGUAGGUGAACCUGCGGAAGGGAUCAUUAAACGUCAGUUGAGGGUUCCAUAGUUGGCCCAGGCCUCACCCUUCUGUUGUUAAACUACCUUGUUGCUUUGGCGGGCCCGUUCGGUUCUCGAGCUGCUUAACUUUCCGGGGGUUUGGGCUGACGGCUGGCCCGACCAGAGUUCCAAACCAAACUCUUGAUAUUAACCAAGUCGUCUUGAGAUGAAAAUUUUAAUUUUGAAUUAAAA